rnacentral:rRNA from 1 species
GGUGUCCUACGGGACGUAGCAGUGGGGAAUAUUGCACAAUGGGGGAAACCCUGAUGCAGCGACGCCGCGUGAGUGAAGAAGUAUUUCGGUAUGUAAAGCUCUAUCAGCAGGGAAGAAGAAAGACGGUACCUGACUAAGAAGCCCCGGCUAACUACGUGCCAGCAGCCGCGGUAAUACGUAGGGGGCAAGCGUUAUCCGGAUUUACUGGGUGUAAAGGGAGCGUAGACGGCAGUGCAAGUCCGGAGUGAAAGCCCGGGGCUCGACCGUGGGACUGCUCUGGAAACUGUAAAGCUGGAGUGCGGGAG